rnacentral:rRNA from 1 species
UACGGAGGGUGCAAGCGUUAUCCGGAUUCACUGGGCUUAAAGGGUGCGUAGGUGGGUUGGUAAGUCAGUGGUGAAAUCUCCGAGCUUAACUUGGAAACUGCCAUUGAUACUAUCAGUCUUGAAUAUUGUGGAGGUUAGCGGAAUAUGUCAUGUAGCGGUGAAAUGCUUAGAUAUGACAUAGAACACCAAUGGCGAAGGCAGCUGGCUACACAUAUAUUGACACUGAGGCACGAAAGCGUGGGGAUCAAACAGG